CCCAUCUAACAAACGGAAACAGAUCGCAUUAAAUGCCAUUGAAAUAAAACACUAAAUAGUAAACAACAUUUCGUUCCAUCAUCGAAAUUUGAAGCUACAGUUGGUGAAAACAAGCUGGGCUACAGUGCCUUCGGCAACUCUGAAGCCGCCUUGGCACAUUUGACCAUGAUGGGAUCCUCCUGACUGCAGAAAUUGUUCCGGUUUAAAACAAACAGAAAAACAUAGUUAGGUUGCCAAUUCCGAGGUCAACGCAAUCGAAAAAUGAGACCUAAUGACGUAACACGAAAAACGACGCGGAUAGGGAGAGGAGACAGCGAGACAGAGAGAGAGAGAGAGAGAGAGAGAAAAAGAAAAAAGAAAAAAGAAAACUUGGCAAAAGGAUUCCCUUUUUCUUUCCUACGAGACGACAGGAGACGGUAAUAGAAAACCCCUGGCAGGAGAGGAUCCAUGCUCUGCCCAUUUGGUUUCGUCUUCUUUUCGGCAAGGAAUUUCUUUUACUUUGUUCUUUGCUCGUCUUCCGGCAUUUCUAUUCCAAGGCUACGCAGAAUCAAAAGUUAUCUGAGAACAAGGAGGGAUGUCACAAUCCCAAAGAAUGCAGUUUAUUCCGCAACACAAGAGCCAAUUUUUCGUGCAUUCAACGAAAUCAGUGGAUUGUCGGUAAAGUCCUGAUCUAUUUAUGCGACUACCAGUCGAUUUCUCGAUUUCGUCCAUAUUUCAUUUAUCAUUUUAGAAGCAUCCCGAGCGAGAAUACCUACUCUUCAACAUAACAGAAACGAUGAGUAGGGACGCCCAUUAAUUGCAUUCACCUAUUGUUUCUUUAAAAUAGCGUGUAGAAAAACAAAAGUGAAAAACCCAAAGACAUAGAAGGAAAAGAAAAGGACCAUGAAACUUCUUCUUUAAAAAAUUUAAAACGAACGCCAGCCAAGAGAUAAGAAACUAAGAGCUAGAGCUAAAAGAUGCAGGGAACCAGACAAAACUUCACCUGGAGCAAAAAUUUCUUUCGUGUCAGACUGUACCAGGCGCGAUCAGUUUCUCAGCAAGAUAGGUGGAUAGAGGUGGAAAAGGGCACACCCCCUUGUCUUCUUCUAUACAUGUUUUUGCUUAUAUAAUCCACCUCAAAUAGGAUAGAAAAAAAAGCAUUAAAAAAAAACUCCAUCCGCACCACAGGGUUUUUCCAUUCGAUUAGUGAAUGGUACCACUGCGUACCUGUGUAAAAAGAAAAGCUGCUAGUCAGCAGCAAACAAGUACCAACAAUGUUUACCAACUUUUCGUAUUUGGCAAAAAAUAUUAAACGUCCUCAAACAAAUUUUAUGCGUUUUUUCUUUUGCGAUUGUUAUAGCAUUAGCGCAUUGUUGAAAUGAGGCCACGGUAACUACAAAAAGGUGAGUGCCUUGAAAUCAAAUUGUUUCAACUGUUGCCAAUUAUUUCCUUUCACGGUAGGGGUAUUAGGUCUAAUCGUUUUAAUUGCAGAUUUUUCGAGCAAACCGGUUAUUACAAUUUUUCUAGCAAUACAUUGUCCUUCCACCUGUAAUCAAUUACCCGACCUCCUUGUCAAUGAAAAAAUGAUUAUCAUUUCACGACAUAAUUUACGAGAAGCCUGGACUAUCGCGAACUGUUUCAAUUGAAAGUUUUUUCUGUGCGGAGUCGACAUUCUUUUGAUCUACCUAUAUGGAUAUGAUAAAUACGUCGUUCUCGAUACAGUUCCAAUUUUUCCUGUCGGCCAUCUCAUGCAUAUAACACAAUGAAAAUGAAGGUCAUAAACUCGAUCACGAACCGUCACCUCUCACUCAUUUGAAAUUCACUAGAAAAAUACUUAACAACACAAAAUAAUCAAACCUGUUGAAUUUUGAGUUCGCAUUCGAAGCAGCUUGCGGUUAAACUAUGAAAAGAUUUAAAUCUUUUUCUUAAAAAACAAACAAAUGACAAACUAUUUAUAUCGUCGCGUCAAAACCUGUGGGCAAACAUUUUGGCUCUCUUCCACUUGUACCACCAAAAAAAUCGCAAUCCAAUUUGUUUGUUGAUAAAAUAUCUAAAACAAUCCCGAGCUUUUCUUUUUACCGUAGUUUUGACGGAAAAACCUGUGCGUGGCGCUCGAUACAUGUCAUCUAUUAUUAUCUCUACAGCUAAAAAAGAAAUGGAUCAAUCCAACUUGGCUCCAGAAAAAAAAUUGUUGCGUGAGUACCGCAACAGCCGGCCGCAACAGACAAGUUCCAUCUUGCCAAAAAGAAAAAAAGGAAAUAGAAUGGCAAAAAAAAAAAAAAUGCAACUACCAAAUGAGAAAACGACCCAUGUAACGGUUAAGCAACCGAAAGAAACUCGAUCCUGUUGAUCUCCUUUUUUUUUUUGGUUGUUUGCUUCCCAUCCCCCCAAUGUCUUUAUUCGAUACUCAGGUACUAGACUGGCAGUUGCAAAGCUUGCACAAAACGAUUGGGGCCAGAACACGUUAAAGUAGGGUGCAUUAUGUAUCACCCACAAUCAAUAGAUGAUGGCAGAUGGAGAAAGACGAGCACAGCGUACACUAACGGAAAAGACAUAAGAUCUAAUUACCUGCACCAUGACUUUUCGAGGGUUCUUGAAUAGGCGUAGCAUGAUGGCGGUUCGGUUGCGUUAUUCCUCUUGUAGUUAAAGAUAACCUGAAUAGUUACACACACACACAAACAAUUUCUAUUGGUUAGGUUUUUAUUCGGGCAGUAGAAUGUAUGGCAUAACAAAUGUGGCAUGUACAAAAUGCUAUUGUGAACAUUUCUCUAGAGAAAGAAAUCUACGUCCUACUACCCGAAUUUUCUUCAUGGGGAUAUCGUGGUCUUUUCUACCACUAUCUGUAGUUUUAUUUUUUUAACCGCAACUGAUUGAUAUGAACCAUUUGUUGACUUCCCUGGCAUCCCCGUUUCUUUGCAAUGUCAGCAGUUUGUAGGGGAGCACAUGUCUUACGCAACAUUGAUUUCAAACGGCGUGCACAGACAGUCAACUACGCAGAAAAAGACUGAAAUGUAAAUGACUUACCUUGCCACAAAAUGUCGGUAUCAAACAAUUUUUCUCUAGAAUAUUCGUUCCUCCAAGCAAAUGGCAGUCACACUUUAUAAGAUUGAGUUUUAAAAGUAGGGAAAUUGUGUGCAGGAU